rnacentral:rRNA from 1 species
AGAGUUUGAUUAUGGCUCAAGAUGAACGCUGGCGGCGUGCUUAACACAUGCAAGUCGAACGAAGCACUCUUUUAGAUUUCCUUCGGGGAAGAAGAAAUUGUGACUGAGUGGCGGACGGGUGAGUAACGCGUGGGCAACCUGCCCCAUACAGGGGGAUAACAGCCGGAAACGGCUGCUAAAACCGCAUAAGCGCACAAAGGCCGCAUGGCCUGGUGUGAAAAACUCCGGUGGUAUGGGAUGGGCCCGCGUCUGAUUAGCUAGUUGGCGGGGGAGAGGCCCACCAAGGCGACGAUCAGUAGCCGACCUGAGAGGGUGGCCGGCCACAUUGGGACUGAGACACGGCCCAAACUCCUACGGGAGGCAGCAGUGGGGAAUAUUGCACAAUGGGGGAAACCCUGAUGCAGCGACGCCGCGUGAGCGAAGAAGUAUUUCGGUAUGUAAAGCUCUAUCAGCAGGGAAGAAAAAUGACGGUACCUGAGUAAGAAGCACCGGCUAAAUACGUGCCAGCAGCCGCGGUAAUACGUAUGGUGCAAGCGUUAUCCGGAUUUACUGGGUGUAAAGGGAGCGCAUGCGGUGCGGCUAGUCUGAUGUGAAAGCCCGGGGCUCAACCCCGGGACUG